UACGUAGGGUGCGAGCGUUGUCCGGAAUUAUUGGGCGUAAAGAGCUCGUAGGCGGUGUGUCACGUCGGCCGUGAAAACCUGCAGCUUAACUGUGGGCGUGCGGUCGAUACGGGCAUCACUGGAGUUCGGCAGGGGAGACUGAAAUUCCUGGUGUAGCGGUGAAAUGCGCAGAUAUCAGGAGGAACACCGGUGGCGAAGGCGGGUCUCUGGGCCGAUACUGACGCUGAGGAGCGAAAGCGUGGGGAGCAAACAGG
rnacentral:rRNA from 1 species